rnacentral:rRNA from 1 species
UACGUAGGGUGCGAGCGUUGUCCGGAAUUACUGGGCGUAAAGAGCUCGUAGGUGGUUUGGCGCGUUGUUCGUGAAAACUCACAGCUUAACUGUGGGCGUGCGGGCGAUACGGGCAGACUGGAGUACUGCAGGGGAGACUGGAAUUCCUGGUGUAGCGGUGAAAUGCGCAGAUAUCAGGAGGAACACCGGUGGCGAAGGCGGGUCUCUGGGCCGAUACUGACGCUGAGGAGCGAAAGCGUGGGGAGCAAACAGG